UUUAUCAAAAACAUGUCUUGUUGAAUUAUAAAUAAUAAGUUUAUUCUGCCCAUUGAAUUAGUUUUUGAAAGGCUGCAGUAAUUUAACUGUACAAAGGUAGCAUAAUCAAUAGUUUUUUAAUUGAAAACUUGUAUGAAAGAAUUGAUAAAAUAUUGAUUGUCUCAAAUUUAAAUAAUUGAAAUUAAAUUAAGAGUUAAAAUUCUUUUAUGUAAUUAUUAGACGAUAAGACCCUAAGAAUUUUAUAAUUAUUUUAUUUUAUUAAUUAAAUUAAUUUAAUUAAAAAUUUAUAAUUUAAUUAUUUUAUUGGGAGGGUAAUUAAAAAAUUAAACUUUAAUUAUAUUAGAACUUUGAUAAAUGAAAUGUAAUGAUUAUUGUUAUAGUUGUAAGAAUUAAUUACCUUAGGGAUAACAGCGUAAUAAUUUUGGAAAGUCCAUAUUGAUAAAAUUGUUUGCGACCUCGAUGUUGAAUUAAAAUAAAAAUUAAAUGGAGAAAUUUAAAUUUUUAGUCUGUUCGACUAU
rnacentral:rRNA from 1 species